rnacentral:rRNA from 1 species
AUUGAACGCUGGCGGCAGGCUUAACACAUGCAAGUCGAGCGGGGAAAGGUAGCUUGCUACUGGACCUAGCGGCGGACGGGUGAGUAAUGCUUAGGAAUCUGCCUAUUAGUGGGGGACAACAUUCCGAAAGGAAUGCUAAUACCGCAUACGCCCUACGGGGGAAAGCAGGGGAUCUUCGGACCUUGCGCUAAUAGAUGAGCCUAAGUCGGAUUAGCUAGUUGGUGGGGUAAAGGCCUACCAAGGCGACGAUCUGUAGCGGGUCUGAGAGGAUGAUCCGCCACACUGGGACUGAGACACGGCCCAGACUCCUACGGGAGGCAGCAGUGGGGAAUAUUGGACAAUGGGCGCAAGCCUGAUCCAGCCAUGCCGCGUGUGUGAAGAAGGCCUUUUGGUUGUAAAGCACUUUAAGCGAGGAGGAGGCUCCUUUAGUUAAUACCUAAAGAGAGUGGACGUUACUCGCAGAAUAAGCACCGGCUAACUCUGUGCCAGCAGCCGCGGUAAGAC